AUUGAACGCUGGCGGCAGGCCUAACACAUGCAAGUCGAGCGGAUGAAGGGAGCUUGCUCCUGGAUUCAGCGGCGGACGGGUGAGUAAUGCCUAGGAAUCUGCCUUGUAGUGGGGGAUAACGUCCGGAAACGGGCGCUAAUACCGCAUACGUCCUGAGGGAGAAAGUGGGGGAUCUUCGGACCUCACGCUAUCAGAUGAGCCUAGGUCGGAUUAGCUAGUUGGUGGGGUAAAGGCCUACCAAGGCGACGAUCCGUAACUGGUCUGAGAGGAUGAUCAGUUACACUGGAACUGAGACACGGUCCAGACUCCUACGGGAGGCAGCAGUGGGGAAUAUUGGACAAUGGGCGAAAGCCUGAUCCAGCCAUGCCGCGUGUGUGAAGAAGGUCUUCGGAUUGUAAAGCACUUUAAGUUGGGAGGAAGGGCAGUAAGUUAAUACCUUGCUGUUUUGACGUUACCAACAGAAUAAGCACCGGCUAACUUCGUG
rnacentral:rRNA from 1 species